AGCGAAUAUCGUUAUGACAACCAAUACGAAAAGUGCGCAACACCGGGAGUACGCCCGACCAGAAGUGAGAUUUGGAACGCAAGAACGUCCAACCGGAAGUGAAAUUUGGAAAACAAGAACGAACGUCUUAAUUUCCGGAACUGCGGCAUGCUGUUUAGACACCGGAGAUUGGCGCCAAUUACAAUUUCCUGUUGUAUGAUAUAAAUGUGAUAACAUGUAUUUGACUAUUUAUACACUUGAGAAAGAC